rnacentral:rRNA from 1 species
GAUGAACGCUGGCGGCGUGCCUAAUACAUGCAAGUCGAACGCAUUGUGGUUGAAAUGAUAUGAAGAACUUGUUCAGAUUUGAUUUUCAACAUUGCAAUGAGUGGCGAACGGGUGAGUAACACGUGGGAAACCUACCUCUUAGCAGGGGAUAACAUUUGGAAACAAAUGCUAAUACCGUAUAAUAAUUAAAACCGCAUGGUUUUAGUUUAAAAGAUGGUCUUGCUAUCACUAAGAGAUGGUCCCGCGGUGUAUUAGUUAGUUGGUGAGGUAAUGGCUCACCAAGACAAUGAUACAUAGCCGAGUUGAGAGACUGACCGGCCACAAUGGGACUGAGACACGGCCCAUACUCCUACGGGAGGCAGCAGUAGGGAAUCGUUCCACAAUGGACGAAAGUCUGAUGGAGCAACGCCGCGUGAGUGAAGAAGGUUUUCGGAUCGUAAAACUCUGUUGUUGGAGAAGAAUGUAUCUGAUAGUAACUGAUCAGGUAGUGACGGUAUCCAACC